rnacentral:rRNA from 1 species
UGGGGAAUAUUGGACAAUGGGCGCAAGCCUGAUCCAGCCAUGCCGCGUGAGUGAUGAAGGCCCUAGGGUUGUAAAGCUCUUCAGUGGGGACGAUAAUGACGGUACCCACAGAAGAAGCCCCGGCUAACUUCGUGCCAGCAGCCGCGGUAAUACGAAGGGGGCUAGCGUUGUUCGGAAUUACUGGGCGUAAAGCGCACGUAGGCGGAUAUUUAAGUCAGGGUGAAAUCCCGGGGCUCAACCCCGGGAACUGCCUUUGAUACUGGGUAUCUUGAGUUCGGAAGAGGUAAGUGGAAUUGCGAGUGUAGAAGUGAAAUUCGUAGAUAUUCGCAGGAACACCAGUGGCGAAGGCGGCUUACUGGUCCGACACUGACGCUGAGGUGCGAAAGCGUGGGGAGCAAACAGGAUUAGAUACCC